rnacentral:rRNA from 1 species
UACGUAGGUCCCGAGCGUUGUCCGGAUUUAUUGGGCGUAAAGCGAGCGCAGGUGGUUUAUUAAGUCUGGUGUAAAAGGCAGUGGCUCAACCAUUGUAUGCAUUGGAAACUGGUAGACUUGAGUGCAGGAGAGGAGAGUGGAAUUCCAUGUGUAGCGGUGAAAUGCGUAGAUAUAUGGAGGAACACCGGUGGCGAAAGCGGCUCUCUGGCCUGUAGCUGACGCUGAUGCUCGAAAGUGUGGGGAGCAAACAGG